GCUAAAUAAAGUCAUGUUGCUCUAUACAAUUUUUUAUAUACCUUUCCUAAGUUAUUUUAAUAAGAAAAGCAAACACAGCAUCUUUGAUGUUGCAUUCUAAUCUUACGAAGAAAUUGAAAGAGGAUAAGGGAAGUGGUUGUGUUCCUCAAUCCACAAUCAACACCAUCUGAACACCUCUUUCUCCACCGCCGCCACAACCACCACUGUUAUUAGUAGCAGACUCAGGAUAAUGGAAUUAGCAGCAUGUCCAUUAAGUCCGAUUUACAACCCAGG